GGCUGAACAGAGACAAAAUGUCUUCAAUAGUGAUCAGACCUGAAGUUGUGUUUGCUUUUCUUAUCCUGUUGUUGAACUGGACAGGACUUAAUGGUCAAACACUGACUGAGUCUGAAUCAGUGGUGAAAACACCUGGAGAAUCCCACACACUGACCUGCACACAUUCAGGGUUUAGUGGAAAACCCUGGAUUGCUUGGAUCAGACAAGUUUCAGGAAAAGGACUGGAGUGGAUCUCAACUAUUGACAGUGGUGGUGGUACCGCCUACUCUCAGUCAGUGAGAGGCCGGUUCACCAUCUCCAGAGACGACAGCAGAAGUCAGGUGUAUCUGCAGAUGAACAGUUUGUCUGCUGAGGAUUCUGCAGUUUAUUAUUGCGCUAGAGAUCCACAGUGACACAGACAGUAGAAACACAGUACAAAA